rnacentral:rRNA from 1 species
GCUCANNGUUGGAACCUGUUUGGCUUAGCUAAACCGGAUUGUAAACUGUAGAAGUGUUUUCCAGACACGCCUGGUAAAAAAGUCCUUUGGAACAGGGCAUCAUAGAGGGUGAGAAUCCCGUCAUUGGCCAGAGCUGUUGUCUUUUGUGAUACAUUUUCAAAGAGUCAGGUUGUUUGGGAAUGCAGCCUAAAUUGGGUGGUAAAUCUCACCUAAAGCUAAAUAUUUGCGAGAGACCGAUAGCGAACAAGUACCGUGAGGGAAAGAUGAAAAGAACUUUGAAAAGAGAGUUAAACAGUAUGUGAAAUUGUUAAAAGGGAACCGUUUGGAGCCAGACUGGCUUGAUCGUAAUCACUCUAGGCUUUGGCCUGGAUGCACUUGCGGUCUAUGCCGGCCAACGACAGUUUUGUCUGAGGGAAAAAAUUACAUUGAAUGUGGCCCCUCGGGGUGUUAUAGCUUUGUAAAAAAUACCUUGGAUGGGACUGAGGAACGCAGUGAAUGCCUUUAGGCGAGAUUGCUGGGUGCUUGCGCUGAUACAUGCUAGAAUUUCUGCUU